UACGAAGGGGGCUAGCGUUGCUCGGAAUUACUGGGCGUAAAGCGCGCGUAGGCGGGUCGUUAAGUCGGGGGUGAAAUCCUGGAGCUCAACUCCAGAACUGCCUUCGAUACUGGCGAUCUUGAGUCCGGGAGAGGUGAGUGGAACUCCGAGUGUAGAGGUGAAAUUCGUAGAUAUUCGGAAGAACACCAGUGGCGAAGGCGGCUCACUGGUCCGGUACUGACGCUGAGGUGCGAAAGCGUGGGGAGCAAACAGG
rnacentral:rRNA from 1 species